CUACGUAGGGUGCAAGCGUUAAUCGGAAUUACUGGGCGUAAAGCGUGCGCAGGCGGUUAUGUAAGACAGAGGUGAAAUCCCCGGGCUCAACCUGGGAACUGCCUUUGUGACUGCAUAGCUAGAGUACGGUAGAGGGGGAUGGAAUUCCGCGUGUAGCAGUGAAAUGCGUAGAUAUGCGGAGGAACACCGAUGGCGAAGGCAAUCCCCUGGACCUGUACUGACGCUCAUGCACGAAAGCGUGGGGAGCAAACAGGAUUAGAUACCCUGGUAGUCCACGCCCUAAACGAUGUCAACUGGUUGUUGGGUCUUCACUGACUCAGUAACGAAGCUAACGCGUGAAGUUGACCGCCUGGGGAGUACGGCCGCAAGGUUGAAACUCAAAUGAAUUGACGGGG
rnacentral:rRNA from 1 species